rnacentral:rRNA from 2 species
GGUUAAGCGACUAAGCGUACACGGUGGAUGCCCUGGCAGUCAGAGGCGAUGAAGGACGUGCUAAUCUGCGAUAAGCGUCGGUGAGGUGAUAUGAACCGUUAUAACCGGCGAUUUCCGAAUGGGGAAACCCAGUGUGUUUCGACACACUAUCAUUAACUGAAUCCAUAGGUUAAUGAGGCGAACCGGGGGAACUGAAACAUCUAAGUACCCCGAGGAAAAGAAAUCAACCGAGAUUCCCCCAGUAGCGGCGAGCGAACGGGGAGGAGCCCAGAGCCUGAAUCAGUGUGUGUGUU